rnacentral:rRNA from 1 species
GAUGAACGCUGGCGGCGUGCCUAAUACAUGCAAGUCGAGCGAACGGACGGGAAGCUUACUUCUCUGAGGUUAGCGGCGGACGGGUGAGUAACACGUGGAUAACCUACCUAUACGACUGGGAUGACUUCGGGAAACCGGAGCUAAUACCGGAUAAUAUUUUGAACCUCAUUGUUCAAAAGUGAAAUACGGUCUUGCUGUCACUUAUAGCUUGAUCCGCGCUGCAUUCGCUAGUUGGUAAGGUAACGGCUUACCAACGCAACGAUGGUUAGCCGACCUGAGAGGGUGAUCGGACACACUGGAACUGAGACACGGUCCCGACUCCUACGGGAGGACGCAGUAGGGAAUCUUACGCAAUGGGCGAAAGCCUGACGGAGCACCGCCGCGUGAGUGAUGAAGGUCUUAGGACGGUAAAACUAUGUUAGUAGGGAAGAACAUAUGCGCAAGUAACUGUGCACAUAUUGACGGUACCUAAUCAGAAAGCCCCGGCUAACUACGUG